rnacentral:lncRNA from 1 species
GGAUCCCAGGUGCUGGAGCUGUUGCUGGGCAGAUGGGAAGCCAGUUUGGUUCCAACUUUUCCAUGAUGUGACUUGGAGAGCCAGAUCUGCUCACUUGUCUGUUAUCUGCAGUAUUUUCAAUGAUUCUAAUAUUUCUCUGCAAGAAAGGAAGGCAAUGUGAAUUUCUGCAGCAGAUAAGAUUGAAGGGAAGAAGUAAGUGAGAAGAGUGGAAGAACAGAGUUUCUACUGAUUAUAUAUGGAAGACCUGCCAAAGGCUCCACAGGACUCAUCGGCAGCCUCUUCACCAGCAGGGGAAUCUCGCCUUUUCACUGGGAUCAUGCAGAGUGCUCUCCAGACAUAGCGCGACUGGCUGCUCUCCACCACCACAGCACUGACCACGUCCUAUCUUCGAGGGAUAUAUCCUUCUGGAAGUUUCAGAGAUCCAAGGAACAGGCUGACCACAGGUGGGAAACACACCUGCAAGCUAUUCAUCACAGCUGAGAGAAAGAAUGGAACAAUAAAAGACCCUGGAGUCCAUCACGCCUGAAGGAAACCCCCACCUUACUCUCCAUUUUCCCUGUAUAACUACCUUAAGAUUCUUCAAUUUUUGAAGAUUUUUUUUUGUGACAUUAGUCUGCCAUCUUCCCAAUUACGCUGCCUAAUUGAACUAAAACUUCCCUCCUCAG